CUAGACACCUAAUAAUAAUAAUAAAUUUUAUUACGGCUUUCCCUGGGUGAGGUUCAUCGAUUGAGAUUGCUCCAAAUGCGGGAAACUCGAUUGUAUAAUUUGUGGUAGUNGGGGACUGCGUUCGUGCUUUCCCCUG
rnacentral:snRNA from 1 species